CCCCCGCUCCUACUCCACCUGUCCAUACUGUCCUGCGGGUCAGGGCCAGCGCCCAGCUUUGACUCUGGCCCCGCUGGCCAGAAGGCCUGGCUUGACUCGCCUGGGGCUCCCUUGAAAACAAAAGCCCAGGACUUAUUCUAGGCUAGGAACACUGUUUCCCCCCUCCCACACUAGAGUUUUGUCAAAGCGUUACAUUAUUCCAGAGUUAAUACGUAGGAUUUGCGAAGCUAAACCCCAGUUGUGACUUGGCCACUUCCAUCUUAGACGACAUCGAAAGAGCGGCAUUAGAGAAAAAUACUUCCACCAGAGCUUGUUUGAAAGAGAACAGUUAGCCUCUUGGAUGGAAUUAGGUGUCCACGUUCCGGGAAUUCUGGUUAUUUGUGCCGCAGCUGAGAAAAGGUAUAUUACUGAGUUUGGUUUGUAAUUAAAAUGGUCUCGUGGGCCUACCCCCCACCUCCCCACCCUCAGGGCACAGGAUAUUCGCUAAGACUGGCACUUCCUCUGUUGAUGUUCCCUUUGGGAAACAAAAGAUAGAAAUGGUGACUAAGGUCUUUCCAGAUAAUAUCCCACACCAAAGUAUUGACAGAAAAGGUUUGUAUAACAUGACGUGAUAACGUAAUGUGAUGUAUGAAUAUUAUUACCCAAGGGUUAUAUUAUACCCAGCCGAUAAGUUAUAUUCGUAUGGUUAUGUGUAUAUUUGUAAAAGUGCGUAGCCUUUCAGUCGUUGACUUUAUAAAUACUUAACCGAGUGUCUGUCUGGUAUGUAAAAAACUGUGCAGGGCAUUGUGAGAAGUACAGAGGUUUACACAAGAUGGGUUUUUUUUGUUGUUGUUUUCUAGCCUUCAAGAAAGUUCAGUGCAGAGUGGGAGUAGCAUCACUGAAGUGACGACCGCAACGUAGUUAGGAGUUGUCAGGAUUUAAACUAGAGAGUGUGGAUGAGGUUUUGACUCUGAAGGUUACUGUACCUUCUGAGAGCUGUGCAUCGGGCAGGUUCUCGGGAAGCCCCUGGGGGGUUUGUUGCUUGCCCAGUUGGGCUGCGAUUAGCAUCCUUCUAGUUUGGAGGAGACGUUAUCCAGGAAGCCAUCUAGUCCGUGGGGGAGGUGGCAUCUCCUGAGUCUUGCUGCCACAGAAAACUUUGAAUGGGUGGAAAAAGGAGUUUGUGAGCAUUCUUGCUAUGUCACAAUGUUGGACAUGUGACUUAAGAGAAGCAUGUGACAGGUCAGUGUGAUUGGACCAUUUGAUUACCAAGUCCAGACUCUAGAGUGACUCAGUGGCCAAUGCUGCUUUUUUAAACGGUUAACUGAAACAUUGGUAUGACAGAAGAUCUAUGAAUAAAAGACCUAAAAUCCUUUUAAACGUACUAUUUAUUGGGACAUCCUGAAGGACUUGUUCCCGUAUCAUCUCCCAUCUUGCACUUGUUGAUAAUUGUUCGACAUUCAUUCGGCAUUUACUGGAAGCUUCCAGAUGGUGGACAGCGUGCAAGGUGUCUGAGAUGGCAGAAGGAAAAUACAGAGGAACAGGCUGUAUCUCCUCACUCGGGGUACCUGUAUGAAGGCUGCUUCACUCUGGAGGUUUGGACCUGUGUGGGCAUGUCUGGGCAUCUGCUGGGAGAGGACUUGCAGAAUACUGGGGACCUUAGCGAGAGAAUUCCUGAAAGUGGAAGACUGUAGAAAUGGUAAUAAGGCCUCAGCUGUUAUAAGAGAGGGGUGACUUCAGUACUUGUGGUAAAGAGGCAGGAUAGGUAGGGUCAAGUGGUAAGAAAUACAGGAGAUAUAUUUGUGUAGAUCACUUAACAGUAGUAUGUAAUCAGUAAAUACUCAUUAUUAUUUGUAUUAUAGUACUCACCCCAGGCUGUCCCUACAAAAACACAUAUGCAGAGACCUAAGAGACAAAGUGUGAAGAUGCCAGAGGUCUUCAUCAGACCGUAUAGAUGUCCUUUAAUGAACUUAUAGAUUGCUAAAUGUUACCAACAAAUGUUAAUAAUGAUAA